ACCACACAAACUGCAUCAUAAAAAAGGGUUGAAAGACAAAAUUCUCUCAUUGCACCCAAAAAAAAUUGCACUGAGAAUGUUAGGAAGAUCUGAAAUUGUUGUUUGAUGGAGAUGGACGCUACAUCAGCGAAUUCAACAACCCUUAAGGUAACACCACCACUAAACGAAAACCAUUUUUACUGCACACACUUCAAUUCCCUUGCUUUGUGUCUCUCGUAAUAAUACUCACAGAUCUUAUCCAUUUAUGUUUCGCACAUUCAAUUUCUAUCUUUUAACUUUUGGGAUCUCUAAGUGGAUAAAUCAUAAGGGUUUAGUUACCAGUUUCUUUUAGUUUUAAGUGUUGUUUGAUGCGGACAUAAAAGGUGUAUUAACUUAGAAUUCUGGUUGUGUCUUUUUGUGGUGUGUAGUUUAUGGUUUAAUCAACAGUUAUGUUUUUUUUUUUAGUUUUCCAAUAAUGACCAUUUUAUUCGAAUUUUGUUUUAAGGAUUAUGCCUUUUCUAAGUAUCACAAUGUGUGUCUUUCUUAUAUAUAAAUGGAAGACAUUAGGUCGCCAAUACUUGUUUGAUUUCAGUUGUGUACGUUUAUGUUAGAAGAAGUCUUUCCUAUGACACUUUCUAAAACUUUCUGCUCUAUUUACGCUUGUUUUAAGGUGUGACACUUUGUGUUCUCUAGACGAGAAAAAUGUUUUCUCGG